GNAGCUUGCUCCUUUGACGUUAGCGGCGGACGGGUGAGUAACACGUGGAUAACCUACCUAUAAGACUGGGAUAACUUCGGGAAACCGGAGCUAAUACCGGAUAACAUAUUGAACCGCAUGGUUCAAUAGUGAAAGGCGGCUUUGCUGUCACUUAUAGAUGGAUCCGCGCCGUAUUAGCUAGUUGGUAAGGUAACGGCUUACCAAGGCAACGAUACGUAGCCGACCUGAGAGGGUGAUCGGCCACACUGGAACUGAGACACGGUCCAGACUCCUACGGGAGGCAGCAGUAGGGAAUCUUCCGCAAUGGGCGAAAGCCUGACGGAGCAACGCCGCGUGAGUGAUGAAGGUCUUCGGAUCGUAAAACUCUGUUAUCAGGGAAGAACAAAUGUGUAAGUAACUGUGCACAUCUUGACGGUACCUGAUCAGAAAGCCACGGCUAACUACGUGCCAGCAGCCGCGGUAAUACGUAGGUGGCAAGCGUUAUCCGGAAUUAUUGGGCGUAAAGCGCGCGUAGGCGGUUUUUUAAGUCUGAUGUGAAAGCCCACGGCUCAACCGUGGAGGGUCAUUGGAAACUGGAAAACUUGAGUGCANNAGA
rnacentral:rRNA from 1 species